rnacentral:rRNA from 1 species
CCUACGGGAGGCUGCAGUGAGGAAUAUUGCACAAUGGGGGAAACCCUGAUGCAGCGACGCCGCGUGAGUGAAGAAGUAUUUCGGUAUGUAAAGCUCUGUCAGCAGGGAAGAAAAUGACGGUACCUGACCAAGAAGCCCCGGCUAACUACGUGCCAGCAGCCGCGGUAAUACGUAGGGGGCAAGCGUUAUCCGGAUUUACGGGGGGUAAAGGGAGCGUAGACGGCAGUGCAAGUCUGGGGUGAAGGCGGGGGCUCAACCCCCGGACUGCUCUGGAAACUGUACGGCUGGAGUGCAGGAGAGGUAAGUGGAAUUCCUGGUGUAGCGGUGAAAUGCGUAGAUAUUAGGAGGAACACCAGUGGCGAAGGCGGCUUACUGGCCUGUAACUGACGUUGAGGCUCGAAAGCGUGGGGAGCAAACAGGAUUAGAUACCCGUGUAGUC